AGUGAACGCUGGCGGCAGGCCUAACACAUGCAAGUCGAGCGGCAGCGGGUCCUUCGGGAUGCCGGCGAGCGGCGGACGGGUGAGGAAUACAUCGGAAUCUACCCUGUCGUGGGGGAUAACCUAGGGAAACUUAGGCUAAUACCGCAUACGACCUACGGGUGAAAGCGGGGGAUCGCAAGACCUCGCGCGACAGGAUGAGCCGAUGUCCGAUUAGCUAGUUGGCGGGGUAAAGGCCCACCAAGGCGACGAUCGGUAGCUGGUCUGAGAGGAUGAUCAGCCACACUGGGACUGAGACACGGCCCAGACUCCUACGGGAGGCAGCAGUGGGGAAUAUUGGACAAUGGGCGCAAGCCUGAUCCAGCCAUGCCGCGUGGGUGAAGAAGGCCUUCGGGUUGUAAAGCCCUUUUGUCCGGGAAGAAAUCGUCUGGGCUAAUACCCCGGGGGGAUGACGGUACCGGAAGAAUAAGCACCGGCUAACUUCGUG
rnacentral:rRNA from 1 species